GUCUUUUUGAUAAUAAUUUAAAGUCUAACCUGCCCUAUGAAUAUUAAAUGGCCGCGGUAUUUUGACCGUGCAAAGGUAGCAUAAUCAUUAGUUUUUUAAUUAAAAGCUGGAAUGAAUGGUUGGACGAGAAAAUUACUGUCUCAAUUUAAUUUAAUUAGAAUUUUAUUUUUAAGUCAAAAAGCUUAAAUGAAUUUAAAAGACGAGAAGACCCUAUAGAGUUUAAUAUUAUGAAUAUUUUUUAUUUUUAUAAAUUAUUAAAUUUUUAUAAUAUUUUAUUGGGGUGAUAAAUAAAUUUAUAUAACUUUAUUUUUUUUUUUACAUAAAUAAAUGAUUUAAUGAUCCAUUAUUAAUGAUUAUAAGAUUAAAUUACCUUAGGGAUAACAGCGUAAUUUUUUUAGAGAGUUCAAAUCGAAAAAAAAGAUUGCGACCUCGAUGUUGGAUUAAAGUAAAUUUUUGGUGUAGAAGCUAAAAUAUUAAGUCUGUUCGACUUUUAAAACUUUACAUGAUCUGAGUUUAAACCGGCGUGAGCCAGGUUGGUUUCUAUCUUUAAAUAAAUAAAAUAUUUUAGUACGAAAGGACCAAAUAUUUAUAAUAAUUAUUUUUUAUUUGACUAU
rnacentral:rRNA from 1 species